ensembl:lncRNA
CAGAGACCCCGGCAGCCAAUCCCAUUCCUCAGACUGUGCUGCAUUCGGCUCUCUCUAGGACCCAGCAGCCCUGCUUCUACACUGUCUGGGCUGCCUGCAGAGUGGUGCCCCCCCAGGCAGAGUGAGGCCCUACGCGGCUGCCUAUUCUGCCUAUGCCUAAGGAUGGCCCUGCACUGUGUGAGGAUUCCACUCUUGUUCCACAGCAAAACUGCGGCAGGUCCUUCACAGAGCCAUGAACAUGGAACUGGAGCUUCAAUGAAGAACGAGCGAGCAGGCAGCUUCUCCCCCGCUGCAGCCUGUGUCAGGCUGCUCUCAUGA